rnacentral:rRNA from 1 species
GAUGAACGCUGGCGGCGUGCCUAAUACAUGCAAGUCGAGCGAACAGACGAUGAGCUUGCUCCUUUGACGUUAGCGGCGGACGGGUGAGUAACACGUAUUUUACCUACCUCUUUGACUUGGAUAACUUCGGGAAACCUGAGCUAAUACCGGAUAAUAUUUCUAACCGCAUGGUUCGAUAGUUUAAUAUGUCUUUGCUAUCUCUUAUAGCUGUACCUGCGCCGUAUUAGUUAGUUGUUAAGGUAACGGCUUACCAAGGCAACGAUACGUAGCCGACCUGGGAGGGUGAAGGGGGACAGUGGAAGUGAGACACGGUACAGAGUCCUACGGGAGGCAGAAGUAGGGAAUAUUCGGAAAUGGGCGAAAGCAUGACGGAGCAACGCCGAGUGAGUGAAGAAGGUCUGCGGAUCGUAAAACUGUGUUAUUAGGGAAGAAAAAAAGUGUAAGUAACUGUGCACGUCGUGACGGUACCUAAUAAGAAAGCAACGGCUAACUACGUG